CGCGGGUUAGAGUAGUGGUCAUGCUCGCCAGUCUCAUAAUCUGGUACUUCCCAAAAGGAAGUCAGGCGUUCGAAUCGCCUACCCGCAA
rnacentral:tRNA from 1 species